rnacentral:rRNA from 1 species
CCUGUGACAUACCUAAACGUUGCUUCGGCGGGAAUAGACGGCCCCGUGAAACGGGCCGCCCCCGCCAGAGGACCCUUAACUCUGUUUCUAUAAUGUUUCUUCUGAGUAAAACAAGCAAAUAAAUUAAAACUUUCAACAACGGAUCUCUUGGCUCUGGCAUCGAUGAAGAACGCAGCGAAAUGCGAUAAGUAAUGUGAAUUGCAGAAUUCAGUGAAUCAUCGAAUCUUUGAACGCACAUUGCGCCCGCCAGUAUUCUGGCGGGCAUGCCUGUUCGAGCGUCAUUACAACCCUCAGGCCCCCGGGCCUGGCGUUGGGGAUCGGCGGAGCCCUUUGUGGGCACACGCCGUCCCCCAAAUACAGUGGCGGUCCCGCCGCAGCUUCCAUCGCGUAGUAGCUAACACCUCGCGACUGGAGAGCGGCGCGGCCACGCCGUAAAACACCCAACUCUUCUGAAGUUGACCUCGAAUCAGGUAGGAAUACCCGCUGAACUUAAGCAUAUCAAUAAGCGGAGGAA